rnacentral:rRNA from 1 species
UAAGGCGAGGAACAGAAACCAACAGGGAUUCCCCUAGUAACUGCGAGUGAAGCGGGAAAAGCUCAAAUUUAAAAUCUGGUGGUCUUUGGCCGUCCGAGUUGUAAUUUAGAGAAGCGUCUUCCGCGCUGGACCGUGCACAAGUCUCCUGGAACGGAGCGUCGUAGAGGGUGAGAAUCCCGUCUUUGGCAUGGACACACCAGGGCUUUUGCGAUGCGCUCUCGAAGAGUCGAGUUGUUUGGGAAUGCAGCUCAAAAUGGGUGGUGAACUCCAUCUAAAGCUAAAUAUUGGCGAGAGACCGAUAGCGAACAAGUACCGUGAGGGAAAGAUGAAAAGCACUUUGGAAAGAGAGUGAAACAGUACGUGAAAUUGUUGAAAGGGAAACGCUUGAAGUCAGUCGCGUCGUCCGAGACUCAGCCUCGCCUCGGCUUGGCGUACUUCUCGGCCCGACGGGUCAGCAUCAAUUUCGCCUCUCGGAUAAUGGCGAGGGAAAAGUGACACCUUUACGGUGUGUUAUAGUCUCUCGUCGCAUGCGAGGGUCGGGAUUGAGGAACUCAGCGCGCCUUCAUUGGUCGGGGUAUCUACCCACGUUAACGUGCUUAGGAUGCUGGCAUAAUGGCUUUAAGCGACC